rnacentral:rRNA from 1 species
AAUGAACGUUGGCGGCGUGGAUUAGGCAUGCAAGUCGCGCGAGAACCGGUUUCGAUCGGGGAAAGCGGCGAAAGGGAGAGUAACGCGUGGGUCACCUACCCCCGGAUCCGGGAUAGCUACGGGAAACUGUAGGUAAUACCGGAUGACGUCUUCGGACCAAAGGUGUGAUUCCGUCCGGGGAUGGGCCCGCGUCUGAUUAGCUAGUUGGUGAGGUAACGGCUCACCAAGGCGAUGAUCGGUCCUGGGUGUGAGAGCAUGACCCAGCUCACUGGGACUGAGACACUGCCCAGACACCUACGGGUGGCUGCAGUCGAGAAUCUUCGGCAAUGGGCGCAAGCCUGACCGAGCGACGCCGCGUGCGGGAUGAAGGCCUUCGGGUUGUAAACCGCUGUCGGAGGGGAUGAAUGGCCUGGGGGUCCUCCCCCAGGUUUGACAUAUCCUCGGAGGAAGUACGGGCUAAGUUCGUGCCAGCCGCCGCAGUAAAAC